AUUCCUUAUCAUCACACACGUUUUUUAAAAACUGCGGACAGGCCGAAAGAGGAGGAGCCGCCACAAAGCCCGCCACGUCUUCCUAAAUUGGUUUACCGCCUGAAGGCAUUGGUGCCCCAUCCCGGGUACUUAAAUGGGGGCCUGCCCUCUACUCCCCUCCCUCCAAAGUGUGGAGCCGGAAGCCACUUCUCCAUCCAGCUGUGAACUAAAUUUGGAUAAUAAUACACAUCCCUCAGGGUUGAUGUGAAGUUUAAAGUGCCGCUACUGGGGAUUAUGGAGGUAAUUAGAGACCCCCACCCCCACCCCCCAGUCCUCAGGCUGCGCGGGAAUCGCAGCGGCAGUAACCUCCACCUCACCGGGAUGCUUUACACCUUACUUUAAGAGUUUGCAAAACAAUGUCCAAUACCUGCCAUUCAUGCAUUCGUUAAUUCGAUUAAGUACUGAGAACGUAUUUUGUGUCAUACAUCGAUUUGGGUGCUGGAUAUGAAACAGCCAAGAGAACAGGCAGAAAUCUCUGCCCUCCUGUAGUUUGCAGUCUCGUGGGGGAAAGACAGACAAACGGGAGAAUGUGUCAGAGGGUCUCCAUGGGGUGGAGAAAAAUAAGGCGGAGAAGGGGAAUAGGAAGUGUGAGAUAAGAGUGAGGCUCAAAUACAAGAGAAGGCCUCUAUGAGAAAGUAACAUUUAAAGCCUGAAGAAAUUGAGGGAGCAAGCCGUGUGGAUGUCUGGGGAAGAACUGCGCCGAGCAUGAGGAAUAGCAAGUGCAAAGGCUGGGGUAGGAGUGUGUCCAAAAUAGUCAAGACAGAGCGAGUGUGAGGUUGGAGUAGAAUGGGUGAAGGGGAAAGUAACAGGAGAUGAAGCUGGAAAAAUGAUGAUGCUUAUGAUGCUUCUGGUCCCAAAACAAAGCAUUAUGGUUCUAUGAGGAUCUCCCGAAGAAAAGAUGUCAGGAAAGGUGCAGAGACCCUCCCCCACACACCACAUUGUUGUUCCAUCCUUCUCUGUGCCUUUGGGCAAGGACUCUCCGUUCUGUAGGGACCACCAGGUGGAAUUAAAGUCUACACUCCUCCAAGAGCUGAUCUUGGGGCGGCCCCACCUCCAUGCCCCUCUACAGCGUGCCAUUCUCAUAGAACACACUAGGACCUUUGUCCUCUGGAGCUGUUCAGUGCAGCAGCUCUGACCUCAUCCUUCUCCAGAAGCCUCCACCUUCUCUCCCCUCUCUCCUCCUGCGCUUUGUGUGUCCUGUUCUUCCACUUCGGUGACCUGUCUCCUCCCCUAAUCUGGCUCAGAGAGGGGUACCAGCUGCUGCUGCUGCUAUUGCUUCUUCUUCUGUUAAAGGUUUUUUAUUUUUUUCCAAUGACAAAGCUAUGCUCAUUCUGAAAACAUGAAAAAUAAAAAUGCUCAAAAAAUAAAACUCACUCUACAUUCAUUGCUAGGAGAGAACAGCCUGCUCCCAUUCCAGCCUUUUUAUCUAUAUCCACUUAACAUUAAACAUACAGAGUUUCUACUCUAUUUAGUGAUUGUCACCUGCACUUUAAACUUAAUGGUUCUUUAUGAGCAUUUUACUGGGUAGUUGUUCUACAAUAACAUUACUGGAACUGUUUGGGUUUCCCUUGACCCUCUUAAAAAUUACUGAGAACCCUGAAGAGCUUUUGUUUUAUAGGUUACAUCUAUCAAUAUUUGCUUUAUUAGAAAUAAAAACUGAGAAAAAGUAAAUAUUUAUUAAUUUAUUUUAAAAAUGUUAACAUGGAAAGAAAUUAUAUUACAUAAAUAAUGUAUUUUAGAAAAAUAAUUAUACUUUCCAAACAAAAAUAAUUAGUGGGAAGAGUGGCAUUGUUUUACAGUUUUGCACGGCUCUUGAAUGUCUGGUGUAAUAGAAGAUAGCUGGUUUCAUGCCUCCUCCUGCAUUCAGUCGGUCACUAUAUGUUGUUUUGUUUGAAGUAUGUGAAGAAAAUUCAGCCUUAUGUAGAUAUGUAUAUGGGAAAGAAUAGAGGAUUUUAAUCGCCUUUUCAGAUAAUUACAGAUGUUCUUUUUUCAUACCACACCAAAAUGCAAGGAGUCGUUUCUUAAAGGUUAAGUGCAAUGUAGAACCUGAAAAAAAAAAUCAAUAAACUUUUGAACUCAGUUAAUACAUUAAAAUCCAUUGGCCUAUUUUAUAUCUUGACUGGGUCCUUUAGCUAUGCAUAAUUUGGUAAAAUCAUACAUUGAUCAUUUGGGAAAUAUCAGUUCACUGAUUUAUACGGAUCUUACAAAUGUAAACACAUUUCAUUGUACAAUAUUAGAAAAUCACAUCUAUUAAUAGCACCACUGAUCUCAUCUGAAGGUUUUUGAGUAUUGGGAAGUUGUCAAGCUCUUGGUGGCAGAUACGAGUUUCCCAAAAUUGUAAUUUCUGCUUGAAAGCUCAAGUUUAUCACUGACAACAUAAUGUCACAGUGAUUUUCCUAGAAAUGACAGGUUCAUUUCAUUCAUUUUCAAGAAAAUGUCUACCACAAACAAAGGACCACAUUAUGACUUUCAUGGGCCAUAGGCAUUUUUGCCUGCAUGGGCCCUUUCCUCCACUAAAAAGACAACUGCACUGGUAUAAAGACAAAUAAAUUAAUAUUGUAUAUUAAAACUGUGCCUCGUGGAGUAUUCAGCCCUACGUACACCCAAUUCUGAAUACCCAUAGUUUGUCUGUCAGGUGUAGCUUCUCCAUUAGAAACAGUACUCAGGCCCCCAGGACUUUAUGGGCCC
rnacentral:lncRNA from 1 species